AGAUGAAAGUCGGCUACCAAACACCUGUUAAUUCUUAAACGAGCAAGAAACCAAGAAUAUAUAUGUGUGUGUAUUCCAAUUUUCACAAAGUACAUUAACAUAUAUGCUUCUAGAAAUACUAUAUUCCCUUAAUUCUCCCACUAAGUGUAAUUUCAAUGGACUAUGUGUCUAACUUUUGGAAAGCCAAUUGUAGUGGUGGAUGAAAUGGGGUUGUUUGCAAUGCACAAGUGGUGCUGCCCAUCAUCAUUAGGGUUAGGGGCGUGCAGUCUUGGAAGUUGGAUGGUUGUAGAUGUGAGUUUAAGUUUUCAACCUCAUUCCUAUGGGUGCAGCCCACCAAUCUUGAGCGUAAAGGCCACUCCUACCUUCCACUUGGCAGUUGGAAUCCAACUACAUAGUCACUAAGGAAAUUCGCACUGAAUUUUGGAAUACUCAAUUUCAGACAACAUUUACAUCCUAGGUCUAUUGAAAUUUAGACUUUGGAGUCACCAAGAUUAAUAAUCCAUCAUCACAAACUAAUUAGUUUAAGUUAUUUGUAUGAGCCCACUUUAACACUGACGGUAUGUAAUCCAUCCUUCAAUUUUAGUUUUUUAAUUAUAUUUUAUUUCAAAUAUAAUCAUUCGAUAUCCUUUCCUCAAAUAUAAAAGAAAUCCAUUACAAACGAAAUUUCUAUUAACUUGCUCCCAACCAAGAGUCUUUGCACGAGUGGUAAUAGACGCUCGUGACUUUCCCUUUGAAUUUCAAGUGGUCCAGUGCGCACGCGGGGUUAUAAUUGCAUAUGACACAUACAACACCAUCAUUGUUAGAGUCAGUCAGUCCACAAUGUCCUGCCUCGGGAUCACCACUAAUGUUAACAUGGUCCAUGUAAUAGUACUAGGAAUAUGACUUAAAUCAGGCAAACCACUACAAAUCGGGGGACCAUAACUUACGGCUUUCCUCAGAGCUUAAACAGGCAAAACAAAACAUUUUCAGGCAAGAUAGUCUAUUCAAACAUCAAAAAAAGAGUAGCCCAUCCUCAAAUCAGACACUUGCAUAGAAUGAGAAGAGGAGAAGACAAUAUACACACCGAUUGUGUCGUUAACAUGAAAGGUUUUUGUAGCAGCCCAGAGGUUGUAAUCAACAUUUCCAAUGGUGGUCCAGCCAGCAGAAUCUCCCACCUUAUA